GCCGGGCAUGGUGGUGGGUGCCUGUAAUCCCAGCUACUCGGGAGGCUGAGGCAGGAGAAUUGCUUGAACCCGGGAGGCGGAGGUUGCAGUGAGCCAAGAUCCGCCACUGCACUCCAGCCUGGGCGACACAGCGAGACUCUGCCUCAA
rfam:Homo sapiens chromosome 14, GRCh38 reference primary assembly.